rnacentral:rRNA from 1 species
AUGGGGUGGUCGACCUCGACACCGCAACGCGUGGGCGUUGCCGCCCUAGACGCGGUGAUGGGCACACCGGCGACGCGUAAGAAUCAGAGAACAGCAGCCACUAACGGCGACUCAAGCUCCCGCGCAAGCAGCGGCCGGUUCCAGCGGCUUGAGGUGCUCGGCGCAGGAACAUUCGGCGUCGUCUACCGGGCGAGGGACCGCCGCACGGGUGAGAUCGUGGCGGUGAAGUGCCUCCGUGCGAGCGACGGCGCCGGCGACGCCGAACGCUACCUCUUCGACUUCGCCAGCGAGGUCAGUGCUCUCGAGGCGUACAGCGGCCACCCGUCCAUCGUUCAGCCGCGUGGCUCCGGCCAACUUGACAGCGGGGCUUUCCUCGCCAUGGAGUUUGUGGGGCCGACUCUCAGGCACGUCAUGAAGCAUGUCCGCUUUGGGAGGAGGCACACCGAGCUGGAGGUUCGUCUUCUCAUGAGGCAGCUUCUCGCCGGCGAGAGGAGGAUGAAUCGUCUCGGCCUCAUGCACCGGGACCUGAAGCCGGAGAACGUGCUUGUGGACAGCCACGGGAACCUCAAGAUCUGCGACCUGGGGCUAUCGUGCAGCAUGGCCGACGGGCCGCCCUACUCUAAUCCUAUUGGGACACGGGGAUAUCGCGCGCCAGAAAUCCUCCUCGGGUCCACGGAUUACGACGAGCGUGUCGACUCAUGGGCUCUCGGUGUCAUGAUGGCCGAGCUCCUCGCCGGCCAGCACCCUUUCCAUGGGAGGUCGGACAUGGAUCACCUCAGCGAAAUCUUGGCCCUUCUUGGCAUGGCAGACAUCAAGGAGUGGUCGGGCUACGAUGGGCGGCGGCUACCUAGCGGAUGCCAACCAGGAAGCUUCUUGCGCAACAAGUUCCCAUGUCCCGCUGAGGCCAGGAUAAAAGGACCGCCAACACUGUCGGAGGCUGGUUUCGAGGUCUUGAGCGGUCUUCUACAAUGCAACCCGGAGAAGAGGCUCACGGCGGAGCAAGCGCUCAAGCAUCGGUGGUUCAAGGACGCCAACCCUAGAGCUACCAGGAGUUGA